UUUUAGUUAAAUUUUGAGUAUUUGGACUCAAAUUAUACUACAACAAAAAUGGUAAAAAACAACAAACAACAAUGGAAUCAAAUGAAUCAGAAAGAUUUCUUUGUAUCUGACACAUUAGAGAUGAGUCCAAUUGCUUCUUAGAUUGAGGAAAAUGGAAAGUGGGCAUCUGACUUCCUCUGGAUAUGGAAUACUGUCUGAAGUCUGUUUCCUAAUCCACAGACCAGAAUAGCUCUUGGCUGUCUCCUGAGACUUCUGACUUGUAAUUGUCUUCCCGCCUGAGGACACUCUGACUUGGAAAUGCAGCAUAUUUAAAGUUGACUGGUUCUGCCGAGUGUCUGUUGAGGGUGCUCCUGUUGAAUCCCAAAUCCUUUGUGUUCAGUGUGAUCUCCUGGACUGCUUUUUAUUCAUCCCGUUUUCUCUACAUUUUGCCUUACUGCAUACAGUAUUGAUUCAUAGGCCCCUGGUACAUGGUCAAUUUUCCUGUGAAGGUCAGAAAAUACAGACUUUGAAACGUUUCUUAUUGAGAGUGCUCCUGUCACUCAACUUCCGUUCUGAGUUGAAAUUGAGAGUAUAAUUAUUUAUGUCCAUAGUUUGGCUUGAGGUGUCUUAUUGCUAUAACCAUUGCACAGGUCAUGGGGCAAAAGUGGAAACGAGUCCCUGAUUUGUGGAGACCCUGGAGGGGUACCCAGCUGGAGCAGCAAUGCUCAUGAGUCUGGUUCUUCCCUCUGCCUUCAUUAUGAUUCAUUCUAUGUCACUCUCAGAAAUGCAUUCAUGGAUAUUUAUUCCUUGCCAAGUUUUAGGAAAAUCCAAUUUUUAUAUGUUGUCUAAUUGCUUGUUACCAAAGUUAAGUUCAUUUGUUUUUCUCACUUUAAGACCUUCAAAUAGAUUUUCCUUUCUUAUUUGAAACAACUUUCAGCUAAGAUAAAUGAGCCAAAAGAACAGCUUCACUGAUGUGCCUUCCCUUCUCGCUGGCUUGAUGAAAGCUCGCUCUUUCUUUUUGGAAUAGACCGUUCAAGAUCUAGUCUGGCAGGAAGUCAGUCUCUGUAAAGUCUUCUCUGCUGGAAGCCUUGAUCUGCAUUCUUUUUCUCUCUUCAGGUCUUCACCCUCCAUAGUGGCCGAGGGGUCAUAACUGCUGCUUGUGGCUGAUGAGGCUGCCUCGUAAAACACUCUCUUUCUCUACCCAAGCUCUGCGUCAUCUGAGACCUGCAACUGAGAAGCUCUCUCAGGUAAUAUCUUUGUGGUUCUCCUGCACUUGUUCACAGCCCACAUUAUUUGCUUGACUUUAACAUCUCUGUUACCGGGGAAGUUUUUAAAUUUUGAAAUGGGAAGUACUGGAAACAAAACUGAUAUAACCUGUUGCCUAGUCCAUACUUUUCAUUGUUCUGAGUUAUCACACCAGCUGCUCAUAGAAACACUGGUUGGAUUGAACUAAAAAAGCUAAAGUGAAGUUUCAAAGUCGAGAAAUUCUUGUCAUUCUGGUAGACUUAUUUUAAAGUUUAACGACAACCCCAGCUAUCAACAUGAGGACAAAGUGAGAAUGUGAAGUUUGGAUUGAUUUAACGAACGAGAGAUUAUCAUUACUCCGCUGGGGUAUUUUAAUGAUUAUAAACAACAUAUCAGCUAAAUAGGUAGGUUAUGAGUUGAUAAUUUGAAAUGCACUCAACAUAGCUUGAUUAUGAAAGAGAAAAUAUCAUCUACUACUUUCACAAAUUAAGUAAAAUUGACAGUAAAUAAAAUUUUCAGUAGAGUGAAAGAGAUCAAGAUGUCAAAAUAACUUGAACAUGUGUAGCUACACAAACUUCUAAGCAACACUAAAUACUUCUUCGACAUAGUAAGGACUUAAAAGUCAAUUUCUUCACAUUAUUUGCAUAUACUGUUAGUUUUAUAUUUGAAAGCCGAAGUCAAUGUUCUGUAAAAAUUUAUUUUAAGUGUUUAUAGAGGAAAUGCUGUUUCUUUUGAUUUAUAACACAAAUCCUUUGUAUUUGUGGUUAAAUACUCUUUAUCAGUCUAUAGGCCUUGACAGGAAUGUAUAGAGACAAUUUAUUUCUCAUGAAUGAAGACAUCUGGCAAUUUAAAAAGCUAUUAUAGUUUAUAUCUUUCAUUCCUGCUCAUACUCAGAAAUAAACACUGGGUGGAAACAUUUGCUGCAGAGAGAAUUCUAAAGUAUUGUUCACAUUAUAUGGUGCUAGAUAUUCUUCAUUUGCUCCCCCAAAUCUAUUCCUCUCCGUUCUCCACCCUGCUCUGUGCCCUUGUCCUCUCAUUUUCCUUGAUUUGACCAGUGAGGGUAUUGGCAGGAGAUCAGAGGGCAGACAAGAGAGAAGGCAGGUUUAUUUCUCCUCUCCUCGACUUUCUGGGUCAUCGAUUGUCAGUGGCUGCUGUCUUCUGUUAAAGGCCACAGCUCCCACCAGGUGGCGCUCUCCUACAGCUACAGCUUUCCUCUCAACUGUGGUAACCUUUCCUUCCCAUACAUCCGCUCUUCACCCUGGGGCAGCACAGAGGGCAAGGCUUCCAUCCAUCUCUAGAGUGGCUGCGCUGACUGAGAAGAAGUGAAACUUUUGAACUAGAUUUUCCUGAGGUGGUUUACAGGAAGCUCAUAUAUGAGGAAAAAGAUAAUAAAGUGCACGAAUCCAGGAUCAGAAUAAGCGUGCAGUCUUCUGCUGGAAAGAAAUGGAAUAAAUGGUCAUUUUGAAUUUUUAAAAAAAUGUUUGAAUCUCUGAGAGCUGUUUUGCCUUUUGGGAGUGGUUUAGAAAACCACUAGAUCUUUUGAAGCUAAAUUAGAAUGGGUUUCCAGAGCUUCUCCUACGUCUGCUUUUU
ensembl:lncRNA